GCUCACUGCCGCGUGCAUGCCAAUUAGGCCCUAAUCUGAUUUCUGUUCUAUCUCUGCGAACCCCAUUAAAACCCAAUUCUGCUUAUUAACAACAGCUUUCUCGCUUCGCAGUGCCUCGCCCUCCCAGGGUUGCUCCGGCGCUGUGAGGAUCGGGGCUCCGCGCGCCGGGCCGCAGGGGACCCCCUUCUCCGGGGCCGCCGCGCCCGCCCCUCCGCCCCCGGAUGCGCCACCUCCCCACCUCUAGAGCCCCACCUCCCCGCGUUGCCCAGGCCGGGGUCGGGACCCAGGCCCGGCGCCCCCAACGAGUCACGGGACCCCUUCUUCGGGAACAAUGGGAUCGUAGAAAGCUGGAACUGGGCGUUGUUGGGAACUCGGAGGUCAUCAAGCCCCGCCUCCCACGCCCUGCAGGAAUUCCCUAGACGCUGGGCGAUCCUCAGGCUGUUCCCGGUACGGGGAGCUCACUCCCUCUCUCAAGGAAACCUGGUCGGCUUCAAGUUCCCGGCGCCUUCGCUGUGUGACAUUAAUCAGAGCUCUGGACCUCUCCGGUCCGAAGUAGCUUCAUCUGUACCCCGGGGGCGCGAUGAUAAUGCUUGCCUCCUGAGACUGUUGAAGGAUAAGAAGACACCGGCAAAGCAUAAGAGCGCCGGAGUGAGGCAGCUGUAAGGAGCAGCACUACGGAUCCAUCUAGAGGACACUGCUCAUCAGCUGGCUUGGCCUCUGGGAUAUCUGUGGGCCCCAGCAUCACCUGGGUCACACGAUGCAUUUUCUGCCUGUGAGUGGCCUCCUUCUGCCCUCUCUCCAUGCUACCAAAAGGAGCUGCUCUCAGUGGCUGUUGCUGUCUUCCCUUGACCUUGAGCUCUGGAGAUGGUCUUCUGGGUAGGAUAUGGCUUCAUUCCUCACCUCUCAAGAGGCCAGGACGGAUGUGACACGACAGGCACUGGAAGCAGAGUCAGGACGCCUGGUUCUACCAUCAGUAAAAGCCCUUGCAGACACAGACAUCUUCCAAGCAAAUGUGUGAGCACGGGAGUGGUGAAGCAAUCCUUGGCGAGAUAAGGCGGGCACUCUCCUAUCUUGGAUCAUACCACCCCGGCAUGUGGCAGAGGCUUAGGGGGCACAGAGUCUGAGGGACAUGACUGUCCAGUCCUUCCUCCACCCACCCGGCCCUGCCUCCCCAAGGGACCACAGAGGCAAGAACAAUGCUUUCUUCUUGGAGGUGUGUGGGACAUCUGGGCUAGCAGAGAGGCACCCAAAGGGACAGACCCACAUCGACUGGUUCUUCUGUCUUAAGCACUGCUGAAGACCCUCCCA
ensembl:lncRNA